rnacentral:rRNA from 1 species
AUUGAACGCUAGCGGGAUGCUUUACACAUGCAAGUCGAACGGAGUGGGGGACGGGUGAGUAAUAUAUCGGAACGUGCCCAGUAGAGGGGGAUAAGUACCAGAAAGAGAGACUAAUAACGCAUAGUAUAGGAGCGGCCGAUAUCGGAUUAGCGAGUUGGAGGGGUAAAGGCUCACCAAGGCAACGAUCUGUAGCUGGUUUGAGAGGACGACCAGGCACACUGGGACUGAGACACGGCCCAGACUCCUACGGGAGGCAGCAGUGGGGAAUUUUGGACAAUGGGGGAAACCCUGAUCCAGCCAUCCCGCGUGUGUGAUGAAGGCCUUCGGGUUGUAAAGUACUUUUGGCAGAGAAGCGGUAUCUGCAGAAUAAGCACCGGCUAACUACGUGCCAGCAGCCGCGGUAAUUC